rnacentral:rRNA from 1 species
AUUGUGUCCUAUACUACCCUGAACUCACCUGAUCUCAUCUGAUUUCAGAAGCUAAGCACAGUCAGGCCUGGUUAGUACUUGGAUGGGCGUAUAG